rnacentral:rRNA from 1 species
CCUACGGUAGGCAGCAGUGGGGGAUAUUGGCCAAUGGGGGGAACCCUGAACCAGCGACGCCGCGUGAGUGAAGAAGUAUUUCGGUAUGGACAGCUCUGUCAGCAGGGAAGAAAGCAAUGACGGUACCUGACCAAGAAGCCCCGGCUAACUACGUGCCAGCAGCCGCGGGAAUACGUAGGGGGCAAGCGUUAUCCGGAUUUACUGGGUUUAAAGGGAGCGUAGACGGAUGUGCAAGUCUGGAGUGAAAGGCGGGGGUCCAACCCCAGUACUGGUCUGGAGACGGUAUGGCUGGUGUGCAGGAGAGGUAAGCGGAAUUCGUAGUGUAGCGGUGAAAUGCGUAGAUAGUAGGAGGAACACCAGUGGCGAAGGCGGCUUACUGGACUGUAACUGACAUUGAGGCUCGAAAGCGUGGGGAGCAAACAGGAUUAGAUACCCCAGUAGUC